rnacentral:tRNA from 1 species
GGGGCAGUAGUUCAGCGGUAGAGCUCCCGCUUCGUAUGCAGGGAGACCUGCGUUCGAUCCCCGGCUACUUCU